UUGUUGUUGUUCUGCUGCUCAUUGCUGCUGCUGCUGUUGUGAUGUACAGGUGCCAUGCUAGAAGGAGAGACCGUGUGAUGCAGGUCAGUGAUCAGAAUCGUGCUGGAGACCUUUCCCCUAAUCAGACUGAAGCUCUGCUGAUGAAUGAGACGUCCUCUAAUCAGUCU